rnacentral:lncRNA from 1 species
GUUCCUAUGUUCAGGGUCUGGGCAAGCAGGUGUUUUCACGCUCAGGGGCUAGCUCCAUUUGUCUGGCCACUUUUCUGACUACAGUGUUGGGUACUGCACCUUUACAACAAGGCUGUGAGGGCUGAGCACUCAGAGGCAGAGGCAGGAGGAACCCUGAGUUCAAGGCUACCCAGGGCUACAAAGAAGGGCACCUGCUGCCCCAGCCCUCACCUGGGUCCUCAGCAUCCCAGACAGCAGUGCCCUGUGUGGCUCCUGGUGUGAUGUGCACUAGGCCCAGUUGCCGGAAGGACAUGGAGAGAAUGAGCGCAGCCUUGUCUGGGUGUUGGAAAACAGAUGCUAACCUGUAAGCAAUUAAAAAGGAUGUUUUCAGCUAGUGAGGAAGACUUAGACAGCUUUUAAAAAGUAAAAAGCAGGAACAGGAAUAUGCCACCACACCUUGCUGGGAGCAGGGAUAACACGCCCAAAGAAAAGGGAUGGGCCGGGACACUGAUCCUCACAAGGCCCGAAGAAGAGGUGGGACUCAUCACGAGGCCACAGAGAAAUGCAUAUUUUUUUCUGGAGGUGGAUUUUCUGCUUGCCGAACAGAGCAGAUGACUGUGCUUGAGAGGGGAAAGGAAAUUGCCAACCCCAUCCUCUGGCAUAGAAGAAAAAAUUGACGAAGUCACCAGGCUGGGCUCCAGCCCCUCUUCUGCAGCUUCAGCAGAUUUCUCUGCUGACACUCUGCCAUCAGA